AUGAAGAAGAAUGCCUCUCCUGGACCUGAUGGAUUCAAUGUGGGUUUCUACCUUUCGGCUUGGAGUUGGAUAGGAGAUGAUGUGACCAAUUUGGUAAGAAAUUUCUACACCACGGGUAUUGUUCCGCCUCAUCUCAAUGAUACUCAUGUUGUUUACAAAAUCAUUGCUAAAUCUUUAGCCAAUAGGUUGAAAGGACAUUUGCCUGAUUACAUUCACCCCUCUCAGCAAGCUUUCAUUGAAGGUAGGCGCAUAAGCAAUAAUAUUAUUGUCGCCCAAGAAAUUGCCCACUCAUUCUCUCUUGCUUCUUGGAAGAGCCUUGAUUUUAUACUGAAAAUUGACCUUGCCAAAGCUUUUGAUAGAAUUGAGUGGCACUUCAUUGUCUCGGCUCUUGCUCGUAAAGGUCUCCAUGGCCAUUUCAUAAAACUUGUUCAUGCAUGCAUUUCAUCCCCAACGUUUUCAGUGAUCAUUAAUGGUCAAUCUUUUGCAAAAUUCAAUAGUUCCAGAGGCAUUAGACAGGGAUGUCCUUUGUCACCGUAUCUUUUCGUCCUUGCAGUAAAUGAGUUAUCUCUUAUGUUACAGGAUGCCUUGCAAGCUAAUCACCUGACAGGUAUUUCGCUUGGACCAAAUUGCCCUCCUAUUCACUCUUUGAUGUUUGCAGAUGACCUGAUUAUUUGUGGCAAAGCUAAUGUGCAGGAAGCUAAUACUAUUUUACAGCUUUUAGACCAUUUUUGU
rnacentral:rRNA from 1 species